rnacentral:rRNA from 1 species
UGGGGAAUAUUGGACAAUGGGCGAAAGCCUGAUCCAGCCAUGCCGCGUGUGUGAAGAAGGUCUUCGGAUUGUAAAGCACUUUAAGUUGGGAGGAAGGGCAGUAAGCGAAUACCUUGCUGUUUUGACGUUACCGACAGAAUAAGCACCGGCUAACUCUGUGCCAGCAGCCGCGGUAAUACAGAGGGUGCAAGCGUUAAUCGGAAUUACUGGGCGUAAAGCGCGCGUAGGUGGUUCGUUAAGUUGAAUGUGAAAGCCCCGGGCUCAACCUGGGAACUGCAUCCAAAACUGGCGAGCUAGAGUAGGGCAGAGGGUGGUGGAAUUUCCUGUGUAGCGGUGAAAUGCGUAGAUAUAGGAAGGAACACCAGUGGCGACGGCGACCACCUGGGCUCAUACUGACACUGAGGUGCGAAAGCGUGGGGAGCAAACAGG